UACGCACCUGUUGGUUAGCCACACUUUGACAGGUCUAGAAAGCAAGGGCAUAUGAGAGUUUCUGGUUAGGAACCAUCAGUUAAGUUCACUUCAAACUUGUGAUCCCAACAGAAUGAGUAGCUAAGCUGCCGGCCACUCACAUCGUUAAGAAAGAAUACAACAAACCAGGAGAGAUACAGCAGAGAUUGAGUAUAAUUGAACCUGUCUCUUCAGAAUCUUACACUCGGUGGGUGCAUAAACAGCAGACUGCACUUGUAACUGGCAAACCAGGACCACUGAAGGGAGGACAUCCAACUCAGG